rnacentral:misc_RNA from 1 species
AAGGAUCAUUAGCGAGCUCAUGCCCUUCGGGGUAGACCUCCAUCCGUGCUUAUAGAUUAUCGUUGCUUCGGCAGUUGCCCCCAACUGCCGGAGGCCCAAAUCCUGAAAAUUAGUGUCGUCUGAGUACUAUAUAAUAGUUAAAACUUUCAACAACGGAUCUCUUGGUUCUG